GACGAACGCUGGCGGCGUGCUUAACACAUGCAAGUCGAACGGAAAGGCCCUGCUUUUGUGGGGUGCUCGAGUGGCGAACGGGUGAGUAACACGUGAGUAACCUGCCCUUGACUUUGGGAUAACUUCAGGAAACUGGGGCUAAUACCGGAUAGGAGCUCCUGCUGCAUGGUGGGGGUUGGAAAGUUUCGGCGGUUGGGGAUGGACUCGCGGCUUAUCAGCUUGUUGGUGGGGUAGUGGCUUACCAAGGCUUUGACGGGUAGCCGGCCUGAGAGGGUGACCGGCCACAUUGGGACUGAGAUACGGCCCAGACUCCUACGGGAGGAAGCAGUGGGGAAUAUGGCAAAAUGGGCGGAAGCCUGAUGAAGCAACGCCGCGUGCGGGAUGACGGCCUUCGGGUUGUAAACCGCUUUCGCCUGUGACGAAGCGUGAGUGACGGUAAUGGGUAAAGAAGCACCGGCUAACUACGUG
rnacentral:rRNA from 1 species